UAGGGAAUCUUCGGCAAUGGGGGCAACCCUGACCGAGCAACGCCGCGUGAGUGAAGAAGGUUUUCGGAUCGUAAAGCUCUGUUGUAAGUCAAGAACGGGUGUGAGAGUGGAAAGUUCACACUGUGACGGUAGCUUACCAGAAAGGGACGGCUAACUACGUGCCAGCAGCCGCGGUAAUACGUAGGUCCCGAGCGUUGUCCGGAUUUAUUGGGCGUAAAGCGAGCGCAGGCGGUUUGAUAAGUCUGAAGUUAAAGGCUGUGGCUCAACCAUAGUUCGCUUUGGAAACUGUCAAGCUUGAGUGCAGAAGGGGAGAGUGGAAUUCCAUGUGUAGCGGUGAAAUGCGUAGAUAUAUGGAGGAACACCGGUGGCGAAAGCGGCUCUCUGGUCUGUAACUGACGCUGAGGCUCGAAAGCGUGGGGAGCGAACAGG
rnacentral:rRNA from 1 species